rnacentral:lncRNA from 1 species
AGGGAUGCGUAUGCGAGGAUGAAGAUAGAAUCUGCCAUCUCCGCCGUGCAUUGAAGAAAUAAAUUAAGAAUAUUGAACCUCGUCGACUCCUAAGGCUAAAUUUUUAAAGUCACCAAGAUUUUGAAUCGCAAUCAUGGUCCUCCAAGACGGUGGAUUAAGCUGGCCCGGCGAGAUCUCGAGCAUCUCCGACACCUUCUCAGCUAGCAACGAUACUCAAUCCCUAAAACCAGAUUCGAAGAAACCCUCGUAGACGGGGAUUUCCUCGGAUUGGAAAUCCGAAGUGAUAUCGAAGGGACCGGGAAUUCGAAUAGCAAUGCGGCUGGGAAUGCUAUACUUUUCUCUCCAUCCUUCGACUUCCUCUACUCCUAUCUC